GAGAAUUUAGCAGAGAUGCUUUAGUGCCUUCGGGAACUCUGAGACAGGUGCUGCAUGGCUGUCGUCAGCUCGUGUUGUGAAAUGUUGGGUUAAGUCCCGCAACGAGCGCAACCCUUAUCCUUUGUUGCCAGCACGUAAUGGUGGGAACUCAAAGGAGACUGCCGGUGAUAAACCGGAGGAAGGUGGGGAUGACGUCAAGUCAUCAUGGCCCUUACGAGUAGGGCUACACACGUGCUACAAUGGCGCAUACAAAGAGAAGCGACCUCGCGAGAGCAAGCGGACCUCAUAAAGUGCGUCGUAGUCCGGAUUGGAGUCUGCAACUCGACUCCAUGAAGUCGGAAUCGCUAGUAAUCGUAAAUCAGAAUGUUACGGUGAAUACGUUCCCGGGCCUUGUACACACCGCCCGUCACACCAUGGGAGUGGGUUGCAAAAGAAGUAGAUAGCUUAACCUUCGGGAGGGCGUUUACCACUUUGUGAUUCAUGACUGGGGUGAAGUCGUAACAAGGUAAGCGUAGUGCU
rnacentral:rRNA from 1 species